rnacentral:rRNA from 1 species
UGCUGCAUGGCUGUCGUCAGCUCGUGUCGUGAGAUGUUAGGUUAAGUCCCGCAACGAGCGCAACCCUUGCCAUUAGUUGCUACGAAAGGGCACUCUAAUGGGACUGCCGGUGACAAACCGGAGGAAGGUGGGGAUGACGUCAAGUCCUCAUGGCCCUUAUAGGUGGGGCUACACACGUCAUACAAUGGCUGGUACAAAGGGUAGCCAACCCGCGAGGGGGAGCCAAUCCCAUAAAGCCGGUCGUAGUCCGGAUCGCAGUCUGCAACUCGACUGCGUGAAGUCGGAAUCGCUAGUAAUCGUGGAUCAGCAUGUCACGGUGAAUACGUUCCCGGGUCUU